rnacentral:rRNA from 1 species
GAUUCUCGACAACGAAUAUUUUGGCUCUCACAUUGAUGAAGAACGUAGUAAAAUGUGAUUUUCGGCGUGAAUUGCAAAUGAAAAUCCCAUGAAUCAUCGAGUCUUUGAACGUAAAUUGCGCCUGAAGCCAUUUGGUUAAGGACACGUCAGUCUGGGCGUCA